AGCGAACGCUGGCGGCAGGCUUAACACAUGCAAGUCGAGCGGGCGUAGCAAUACGUCAGCGGCAGACGGGUGAGUAACGCGUGGGAACAUACCUUUUGGUUCGGAACAACACAGGGAAACUUGUGCUAAUACCGGAUAAGCCCUUACGGGGAAAGAUUUAUCGCCGAAAGAUUGGCCCGCGUCUGAUUAGCUAGUUGGUGAGGUAAUGGCUCACCAAGGCGACGAUCAGUAGCUGGUCUGAGAGGAUGAUCAGCCACAUUGGGACUGAGACACGGCCCAAACUCCUACGGGAGGCAGCAGUGGGGAAUAUUGGACAAUGGGGGCAACCCUGAUCCAGCCAUGCCGCGUGAGUGAUGAAGGCCCUAGGGUUGUAAAGCUCUUUUGUGCGGGAAGAUAAUGACGGUACCGCAAGAAUAAGCCCCGGCUAACUUCGUGCCAGCAGCCGCGGUAAUAC
rnacentral:rRNA from 1 species